CAGCGCCACGAGUGGGGAUCGGCAUUAUUGGGCCUAAAGCGUCCGUAGCCUGUUAAGAAAAUCUUAUGUGAAAUUGUUGUGCUUAACACAGCGAAAUGCACAAGACACUACUUAACUAGGGACCGGGAGGAGUAAGAAGUAUUCUUGGGGGAGCGGUAAAAUGUUAUAAUCCCGAGAAGACUACCUGUGGCGAAGGCGUCUUACUAGAACGGAUCUGACGGUGAGGGACGAAAGCUAGGGGAGCGAACCGGAUUAGAUACCCGAGUAGUCC
rnacentral:rRNA from 1 species